GCCCGGCCCCUGCGCGCGUGCGUGUCCUGCUCGCUCCAUGUUGCCGCCUCUCCCGGUACCUGCUGCUGCUCCCGGGGCUUCGGGAAAUGCGAGAGUCUGAGCCGGGGAGGAGGAACCCGAGCAGCGGCGGCGGCGGCCGCGGCGGCGGGAGCCCCCCAAGAGGAGGACCGGGAUCCAUGUGUCUUUCCUGGUGACUAGGAUGUCGUCGGAGGAGAACAAGUGCGUGGAGCAGCCGCAGCCACCACCCCCCGAGGAGCCUGGAGCCCCGGCCCCGAGCCCCCCAGCCGCAGACAAAAGACCUCGGGGCCGGCCUCGCAAGGCGCUUCCCCUUUCCAGAGAGCCAGAAAGAAACUCAGCCCACCUGCACCCAGGUGAAAUAAACAGCUUUAUUGCUCACACGAAGCCUGUUUGGUGGUCUCUUCACACGGAUGCGCAUGAAAUUUGGUGCCGUGACUUGGAUCGGGGGACCUCCCUUAGGAGAUCAAUCCCCCGUCCUCCUGCUCUUUGCUCCGUGAGAAAGAUCCACCUACGACCUCAGGUCCUCAGACCGACCAGCCCAAGAAACAUCUCACCAAUUUCAAAUCUGAUCUAUUCGGCUUAGCGACUGAAGAUUGACGCUGCCCGAUCGCCUCGGAAGUCCCCUGGACCAUCACAGAAGCCGAGCUUCGGGUAACUCUCACAGUGGAGGAAGGCAGGAAUGUCAGGCCUCUGAGCCCAGGCCAGGCCAUCGCAUCCCCUGUGACUUGCACGUAUACAUCCAGAUGGCCUGAAGUAACUGAAGAUCCACAAAAGAAGUAAAAACAGCCUUAACUGAUGACAUUCCACCAUUGUGAUUUGUUCCUGCCCCACCCUAACUGAUCAAUGUACUUUGUAAUCUCCCCCACCCUUAAGAAGGUUCUUUGUAAUUCUCCCCACCCUUGAGAAUGUACUUUGUGAGAUCCACCCCUGCCCACCAGAGAACAACCCCCUUUGAUUGUAAUUUUUUAUUACCUUCCCAAAUCCUAUAAAACAGCCCCACCCCUAUCUUCCUUCACUGACUCUCUUUUCGGACUCAGCCCACCGGCACCCAGGUGAAAUAAACAGCUUUAUUGCUCACACAAA
rnacentral:lncRNA from 1 species